CCUCCUCCCGUGCACCCAUUGACGAUGGAGGCUGCACAGGAUAGUGUUCCUUUUUGUUUUGCUCUGUCAGUACAUACUGUGCUCACAAGACAGUGCAAACUGAAUCCAGCAUGCCGUAAAUGCACUGUCUGUGGCAGUCUGCACUCUGUGCCGUACUUCUGUCAUAGAGCUUUGAAAGAAACGCUUGUGCAAAAGCCAAAACAGUAGCGUUGUUGCUGAUGCUGUUGGUGCUGGAGUUGCAUAGGUGGCAGAGAGGAUGCCUGGGAAGGAGGCGUAGUGGCGAACCCUUGGUUUAACACUGCUUGUCCCAUCAGCACGAUCGGAGAGCCGCUGCUGGAAGUCUGCACUUCCAAACUUUGAAACAUUUGUUGUGUUUGAGAAUACCUGUGGAAGAAAGAAGAAAUCAUGAACAAACUGUUGGAAGCAAACGUCUUGUCUUAGGAAACGGGGGGAAGUCCCUAGUCUUCAUAAAUAAUUCCUAAUAAAGAUUUCUAGUGCAUGGGACCUAAUAUGAGCAAUGGCACCGUUGGCAUCAUUGUUUCCCCUUUGUGCACGAGUUGGAUUUGGAGGGCAGCGCACAUCACACCUCAAAACCAGACCACAUUUUAGAUUCAUUAAAGAUUCUGGUUUAUGUAUGUCUUCGGCUGCAGCAUUCACAUCCCAGGCUCAAAACAAAUGGUCUUUGAUUCUCUAUUAAUAUGCUGAGCUCUGAACUGCAGCAGCAACAGAUUAAAUGCACCUCCCAUUCUGCUGCCUGUGGUCCCCUGCGACUGCCUGUGGGGGUGGUAAUUUGCAGAAGGAUGGCCAGGGGUGAUUACUUCCUAAGCUGCUCAUGUUCAUGUUGCCAAGUAUGGUCAGCAGUUCCCAUCGCUGUGAGCCACAUGGUAGGAACAGAAGAAACCUCCAGAAGUCCUCUGGAAUGAGAGA